UGAAAGAGUCGAAUUGUGGGUUCA
rnacentral:siRNA from 1 species